UUUCUGCCACAUUACUCCUACUCGUCAAAACGAAACAUUGUAAUUAUCUCUAAUGACUCUAAUUGAGGAUUAUUCGUCUGUCAACACAUGCAUCGUUGCCACUGCAAACAGAGAUUUAUCUUAUCUGUACCUGUAUUAUAAUUAAUAAUGUCGUUCCGGUAUUGUGACUUAAUGCGAGACUUCGACGAGGACCUCGACGAAGGCGGUCAGACAUUAAUCUAGAUGAAGAGAUUUCUCUCGGAUGGCGCGAAUUGAUAAAUUCAAGGAUGCGACCGGAUGAUCGUUUCGUCGUGAGAAAAUAAUCACGGAGAUUGGAGGUUGAUUUCGCCGGAAUACCGAAACCCCGACGCGGCGUUAAAUUCGAUCGACAACUCGUAGCGUCACUCGCCGAUCUGCAGGCCUCCUUUGAGUUAGUCCGACGGUCGUGUGCAGAUCCACCACGGCGAAUUAAUCUAUCCGCCAAUCGAGCAACGUCGUCGUCGUCGGCCGUUAAUUUGGGGGGAACACACCCAGAAUUACCCGCGAUCCGCUCUUGCGAACGGGAGACGAGAGGAGAUAUAUUUAGCGCCGUUAAAUGUAGAUCACUAAGGCUCUCUUCGGUUCGAAUGAUAAAUUAAAUAAUCAGGAGUUGAAAUUAUUCCCGUCCGAAUUGUGCAAGAAUGUCAUGUCCAGGCGGGGACAUUGGCGAAUCCCCCCCAAAAUUCAGUUAAUCAUCAGUCAUUGUUGUAAUGGUGUUUUCGAUUUUCGAUCCUCUGUGCUCUUCACGAUCGGGAAGCCGUGGACGAUCUAUGUAUUCGGAGGUAGAACUAUAGAAGAUCGAUUCCCACAAAAAAAAUUUAUAAUUAAUCAUCAGUCAUUAACGAAUCCCCCAAAAAAUUUAAUUAAUCAUCAGUCAUUGUAAUGGUGUUCACGAUUUUCGAUCCUCUAUAGUCUAUACUCUUCACGAUCGGGAAGCCGUGUAGGCGAUCUAUGUAUUCGGAGGGAGAGCUAUAGAAGAUCGAUUCCGAAAUGAUUGAACGCGAGCCUUCGUCAGAACCUGGCGGGGACAUUGGCGAAUCCCACAAAAAAAAUUUAUAGUUAAUCAUCAGUCAUUGGCGAAUCCCCCAAAAAAUUCAGUUAAUCAUCAGUCAUUGUAAUGGUGUUUUCGAUUUUCGAUUCUCUAUACUCUUCACGAUCGGGAAGCCGUGUAGGCGAUCUAUGUAUUCGGAGGGAGAGCUAUAGAAGAUCGAUUCCGAAAUGAUUGGACGCGAGCCUUCGUCAGAACCUGGCGGGGACAUUGGCGAAUCCCACAAAAAAAUUUAUAGUUAAUCAUCAGUCAUUGUUGUAAUGGUGUUUUCGAUUUUCGAUCCUCUAUGCUCUUCACGAUCGGGAAGCCGUGUAGGCGAUCUAUGUAUUCGGAGGGAGAGCUAUUAUAGAAGAUCGAUUCCGAAAUGAUUGAACGCGAGCCUUCGUCAGAACCUGGCGGGGACAUUGGCGAAUCCCACAAAAAAAUUUAUAGUUAAUCAUCAGUCAUUGUUGUA